GAGCAACAAGUCACCCUGGUUGGCCCUUUAACUAGCUGUGUAAGGUCAAAGGUAUUAGUGAUCCGUUUGAGGGUUUUCCUACAACACUUGUCUUCAUAAUUAAUGUUAAAAUCUCCCAUUAAGAUGACCUCUUUCCCAAAAUCACAUUCCCUAAGCAUGGUAUUAAACUGAUCAAAAAACACACUUUUGGUGGAAGGUGGCCUAUACAUUCCAAUGAGGGUAAAAGACAUUUGGGGAGACAGUGUAACGUUCAGGCCGAUACAUUCUAGUUCAUUAUCACAUGACCACUCAAUUUGUUUACAUCGGAUAUGUUCUUUAAUGUAAAUCAUCACACCCCCUCCUCCUCUUCCUUCAAUCCUGUCUCUCCUGAAGACAUUGUAGCCAGGCACAAUCAAAGCAGCAUAUGGAGAGUGUUUAUGGAGCCAUGUCUCUGAGAGGCAGAGAAAGUCAAGGUUGGAGUCUGUGAGUAAAUGUUGAAUUUGAUCACUUUUUGGAAUGACACUACGAAUGUUCAAGUGCCCCCCUAGUAGUCCCUUGGGCUUAGCUCGUGGGUCCCAGAUGACUCCAGAGUGAUUGACACAUUGAAAAAAGUUAAAAUUUCGAUGUUUUCUGACGGCUGGGUUUAGGCCGUUUUGUUUUGUUUUGAUUAGGGGCAGUUCGGUGGCGCAAUUAACAAUCCCUCCCACCUGCACUGGAUGCGGGGAACUAAUUAAAAUAGCUUGGUACCAGAAGCAGAGUCAGGGAUCGCAUAUAGCGACUCUGGUAUGUUUGAAGAGUCAAAAUCUAUCCUGGAGCCGGGUGAGUCGAGAGAAACCAUAGGACCAUAGCACUCACCCACCUCCACAGCGGCGACGACCAGUGGACGAGGCCUUCCACCGCUCUCCACUCCGGUGCGUAUCACUGGCUCGGUGAUAUUGGGCCCAGGAUUGAGUUGUACAUCCCCGGAGAGCAGGAGGGUAGUGAACAGGUAGUUUAACAGUUUCCGAUAAAUGUUGGACUUGUGUUUGUUACGCCUAAGCGGUUCAGUAGAAUAAGGAGCGAGGUAGACUUGGCCAUUAUUCAGAACAUUAUGGUAUGCUGUGUACUGUCCGCUCCCGUGGAACAGUGAACCACUGUGUUUGGUGUUGAUAUUCUCCGGUAGAUUACUCAGCUGUUCUAGUGGUCUGAGGCAGGUGGUAGAUUACUCAGCUGUUCUAGUGGUCUGAGGCAGGUGGUAGAUUACUCAGCUGUUCUAGUGGUCUGAGGCAGGUGGUAGAUUACUCAGCUGUUCUAGUGGUCUGAGGCAGGUGUUAGAUUACUCAGCUGUUCUAGUGGUCUGAGGCAGGUGGUAGAUUACUCAGCUGUUCUAGUGGUCUGAGGCAGGUGGUAGAUUACUCAGCUGUUCUAGUGGUCUGAGGCAGGUGGUAGAUUACUCAGCUGUUCUAGUGGUCUGAGGCAGGUGGUAGAUUACUCAGCUGUUCUAGUGGUCUGAGGCAGGUGGUAGAUUACUCAGCUGUUCUAGUGGUCUGAGGCAGGUGGUAGAUUACUCAGCUGUUCUAGUGGUCUGAGGCAGGUGGUAGAUUACUCAGCUGUUCUAGUGGUCUGAGGCAGGUGUUAGAUUACUCAGCUGUUCUAGUGGUCUGAGGCAGGUGGUAGAUUACUCAGCUGUUCUAGUGGUCUGAGGCAGGUGGUAGAUUACUCAGCUGUUCUAGUGGUCUGAGGCAGGUGGUAGAUUACUCAGCUGUUCUAGUGGUCUGAGGCAGGUGUUAGAUUACUCAGCUGUUCUAGUGGUCUGAGGCAGGUGUUAGAUUACUCAGCUGUUCUAGUGGUCUGAGGCAGGUGUUAGAUUACUCAGCUGUUCUAGUGGUCUGAGGCAGGUGUUAGAUUACUCAGCUGUUCUAGUGGUCUGAGGCAGGUGGUAGAUUACUCAGCUGUUCUAGUGGUCUGAGGCAGGUGGUAGAUUACUCAGCUGUUCUAGUGGUCUGAGGCAGGUGUUAGAUUACUCAGCUGUUCUAGUGGUCUG